GACGAACGCUGGCGGCGUGCUUAACACAUGCAAGUCGAACGGAAAGGCCCUGCUUUUGUGGGGUGCUCGAGUGGCGAACGGGUGAGUAACACGUGAGUAACCUGCCCUUGACUUUGGGAUAACUUCAGGAAACUGGGGCUAAUACCGGAUAGGAGCUCCUGCUGCAUGGUGGGGGGUGGAAAGGUUCGGCGGUUGGGGAUGGGCUCGCGGCUUAUCAGCUUGUUGGUGGGGUAGUGGCUUACCAAGGCUUUGACGGGUAGCCGGCCUGAGAGGGUGACCGGCCACAUUGGGACUGAGAUACGGCCCAGACUCCUACGGGAGGCAGCAGUGGGGAAUAUUGCACAAUGGGCGGAAGCCUGAUGCAGCAACGCCGCGUGCGGGAUGACGGCCUUCGGGUUGUAAACCGCUUUCGCCUGUGACGAAGCGUGAGUGACGGUAAUUGGUAAAGAAGCACCGGCUAACUACGUG
rnacentral:rRNA from 1 species